GUGGUCCACAAUUGGUUCAUGUUCACUGCAUUCUGGGUAUGUUUGUUACAACAAAUAUACAGAAACGACUCACGAUUGUCUGUGCGGGACGUUUUAGACUCGACAGUGGAGAGAGAAAGUUCAUCUUAUUGAUUGUAGCAUUGCUUUGGAUGAAAGGUCCUCGUCCAGCAGUGCGCCAUGGGUAUCGGAACGCUUAUUGGGUGGUCAUUAUUCGGCGUUGCAGUGUGUCUAAGCUUACUUUCUGCCUGCGUGAGGGCCUGCGUUAAAGCAAAUGUCAGGGUGGAGUCACACCCAGGGAAUCUGGAUACUGUCACACCAGACAACCCGACGUCCCCGCCGCCGUACCCAGGGACUACCGUGCCAACAUCAAUCUCGACAUCACCAGCAGGGACACAGGCACCGUCCUCAUAGCCUGGUACAGACAAGACCAGUCACUAGACCAUCCAUACUGCUUCAGAGCUGGGACAAAAUUUGUUAUAUAAAACUUGAUUCCAAGAAGAUGGAAGUUUGACAUACACACUAACAGUAAUGCCAUUCUUAUGAGGUCAUUUUUAUACAAAAACUAUUUACACGAACCUGGAAUUGUUGUUAGGAUCAUGUAUGGAAAAGAUAAAUUAAAAUUUGUCGCUUCAUAAAUAACCAAUAAAACAAAGUGUCUAAUGUAA